CUGGGUUCUGGGGAUGCUGUUGAGCUGCUCGAUGAGCCCACUUUGGACCUGCCCUACCGCCAGACUUUUUGUGAUCCAAGUGCAAGGAAAUUACAGGGCUAUCAACUCUAUCUCUUUCCAAGACCAGAAAGUCGGCAGAUGGAGAACGGUUUCUAGAUGGGGAGGGAAUCUGCCUUUGGAACUUUUAGCGACCUGGUAUGGUUCAACAUUCCAUCACUAUGCAAAAAUAAAUAAAUAAAUUGCAGACCAACGUA